UGCCAUCACUCUGGUUUCUCUGCAUGCA
rnacentral:piRNA from 1 species